rnacentral:lncRNA from 10 species
AGGCUGGUCUCGAACUCCCAGCCUCAGGUGUUCCGCCCACCUCCGCCUCCCAAAGUGUUGGGAUUACAGGUGUCAGCCACUGCGCCCAGGCUUUUUCCCCCUUUUUGAGACAGGAUCUCACUCUGCUGCCCAGACUGGAAUGCCGGUGGCGCAAUCACAGUUGACUGUAGACUCGACCACCUGGGCUCAAAUGAUCCUACCUCAGGCCCCCGAGUAGCUAGGACCAUAGGCAUACGCCACCAGACCUGGCUAAAUUUUUUUUUUUUUUUUUUUUUUCAUAAAGACAGGGUCUUGCUAUGUUCCCCAGGCUGGACUUGAACUCUCAGACUCCUGCCUCAGCCUCCCAAGUAGCUGGGACUACAGGUGUGCACUACUUUUGUUGUUUUUUUUGUUGUUGUAGAGAUGAUGUCUUGCUAUGUUGCCCAGGCUGAUCUCCAACUCCUGUUCUCAAAUGAUCCUCCCAACGUGGCCUCCCAAAGAGCUGAGAUUGCAGAUAUGAGCCACCUUGCUCAGUCCUCAGACUUCUUUGCUUUUUAUUUCACCUGAUGCUGUUGUUGUUUUCAAAUAGAUGAGUUUAAUCCAUUUCACUUGGAGUUAUGUUACUAUCUUAUUCAGUAUUUUGUCUACUAUUUUUUCUGUAUUUUUUUUCUUUUCCUGACUUGGGUUGACAUAUUAUCUCCACCCUCACCUUUUUUUUUUUUUUUUUUUUUUUUUUUUGAGACGGAGUCUCACCCUGUCACCCAGGCUGGAGUGCAGUGGCUUGAUCUCGGCUCACUGCAAGCUCUGCCUCCCAGGUUUAUGCCAUUCUCCUGCCUCAGCCUCCCCCGUAGCUGGGACCACAGGUGCCCACCACCAUGCCCGGCUAAUUUUUUUUUGUAUUUUUAGUAGAGACAGGGCUUCACCAUGUUAGCCAGGAUGGUCUUGAUCUCCUGACCUCGUGAUCUGCCUGCGUCGGCCUCCCAAAGUGCUGGGAUUACAGGCGAGAGCCAACACGCCCGGCCAACCCUCACCACUUUUUUUCCCCCUCCUGGUCUGGAAAUUAUAUUACUUUUUUUUUAGUGAUUAAUCUUAUAUUGUUAGCUUAUGUACAUUUUCUUGAUGAAGUCUUCAGUUUUUCAGUAAUGCCAUUCUCUUAACAAGGCAGAAAUUUGGUGUGGCUUAACAAUAAAAUUCUCUAUUCUUAUUCUUCCUUGGUAAUGUGGUCAACAAUUCUAGUUUUCUCUUAAAAAAAAAAAUUAAAAGCCCAUUUAGAUCCUGUUUUUUUUUUUUUUUUUUGUCUCUGUGUUUUGCCGUCUGUAGCAGACACUGUUGGCUGUCUACCAGCGGCCACUCUCUUUUUCGCUUGCCAACAGAAUCCUGAUUUGUUUGGGCAGCUAAGGACCCAGUCCUGGCAGAUGAUGCAAGACUGGCCAAAGCCAACCAGCGCCAACCACAGCAAGCCUGUCCCUUUUUCACCAGGAAUUGGUUUGAGGAUGGACCAGCUCAGGUCAAUGAGACCCAAGGGAGUAUGUGUUAGGGCCAUCUUGGAAAGAUUUUCCUUUCCAAAUAAGCAGCCGGGCGCAGUGGCUCACAACUGUAAUCCCAGCGCUUUGGGAGACUGAGGCAGGCAGAUCACCUGAGGUCAGGAGUUCGAGACCAGCCUGGGCAACAUGGUGAAACCCCAUCUCUACUAAAAAUACAAAAAUUAGCUGGGCGUGGGGUCAAGUGCUUGUAUUUCCAGCUACUCAGGAGGCUAAGGCACAAGAAUCACUUGAACCCACGAGGUGGAAGUUGAAGUGGGCGGAGCGGAGAUCACACCUUCCAGCCUGGAUGACAGUGAUUGCAAUAAAAAAUAAAAAAAAAAAAAGCAGCAGCAGCACAUGAAGAAAAAGCUUCCUUUCUCCUAGGAUCUCUGUGCCUUCCUGCCUGGGAUGUUACAGGGUGAUGAUAUAAUGUCUGGAGCUAUGGCAGCCAUCUCACGACCAUGAGAGACAUCUUGCACCCUCGUAUGGCAGAGUAGAAAGAUCGAGGGUCCUUCAUGUUCCUAUGUGACCUACUGCCCCAACCCUGGAACUACUGACCUCCACACUUCUUGUUAUAAACUAAUCCAGUGUUUUCCAGUUUAAGUCAUUGUGGGUUACUCUGCUACUUGCAUCCUAAUAUAUUGUUAAUAGUUAAUUCAGGCCAGGCACGGUGGCUCACACCUGUAAUCCCAGCACUUCAGGAGGCUGAGGCAGGCGGAUCACCUGAGGUUGGGAGUUCGAGAGCAGCCUGACCAACAUGGAGAAACCCCGUCUCUACUGAAAAUACAAAAUUAGCUGGGUGUGGUGGCGGAUGUCUGUAAUCCCAGCUACUCAGGAGGGUGAGGUGGGAGAAUCGCUUGAACCCGGGAGGCAGAGGUUGCGGUGAGCCGAGAUCACCCCAUUGCACUCCAGCCUGGGCAACAAGAGCGAAACUCCGUCUCAAAAAAAAAAAAAAAUAGUUAAUUCAAUUUACCAACAUAAUGCAUCCACUUCUGUGCUCACUGUUGGCACCAACAACCUGCUCUUUCUUCAGGGGUUUACUUUUCUUCUUACUGAAGUACAUCUGUAACCAUUCUUUCAGCAAAGGUCUGUAGGUGAUAAAACUGUCUUAGCCUGUCCAAAAAUACCUUUAUUUUACCUCAUUCUUGAAUGAUAGCUGGCUAUGGAAUUCCAGGUUGACAAGGAGCUUCUCUAAGACAUUCUUCUGUUGUUUUCUGGCAUCCAAUGUUGAUAAGAUAUUAUUUGUGAUCUAAUUGUCAAUUCUUUGAAUUCUUUCUUACCUCCAGUAGUUUUUAACUCUCUUGGUCUGGUCAGGUAUGGCAGCUCAUGCCUGUAAUCCCAGCACUUUGGGAGACCACGGUGGGCAGGUUGCUUGAGCCCAGGAGUUUGAGACCAACCUGGGCAACACGACAACACCCUAUCUCUACAAAAAAUACAAAAAUUAGCCGGGCGUGGUGGCAUGUUUCUGUAGGCCCAGCUACUCAGGAGGCUGAGGUGGGAGGAUCACCUGAGCCUGGCAGGUCAAGGCCACAGUGAACCGUGAUUACGCCACUGCCGCCCAACCUGGCCUCAAAAAGCAAAAUAAAGUUAUAUUAUUAUCUGCAGUUUGGCUGUAUUAUAUCUAGUGACAUAUUAUUUAUCCUGUUUGAUGUUCAUGCUGUUUUUUCGAAUCUGAAAUUUCAAGCCAUUAUCUCUUUAAAUAUUAUUUCUAGGCUGGGCAUGGUGGCUCAUACCUGUAAUCCCAGCAUUUUUGGAGGCCUAAGCAGGCGGAUCACUUGAGCUCAGGAGUUCGAGACCAGCUUAGGCAACAUGGCAAAACCGCGUCUCUAUAAUAAAAAAUAAAAAAAUUAAGCGUGGUAGCGCAUGCCUGUGGUCCCAGAAAGUCAAGACGCUAAGGCGAAAGGUUGGCUUGAGGCUGGGCACGGUGGCACACACCUGUAAUCCCAGUACUUUGGGAGGCGGAGGCAGGUGGAUCAGCUGAGGUCAGGAGUUCACGACCAGCCUGGCCAACAUGGUGAAACCCCGUAUCUACUAAUAAUACAAAAAAUAAGCCGGGCAUGGUGGCGGAUGCCUGUAAUCCUAGCUACUCGGGAGGCUGAGACAGGAGACUCACUUGAACCUGGAAGGCGGAGGUUGCAGUGAGCUAAGAUCGGGCCACUGCACUCCAGCCUGGGCAACAAGAGUGAAACUCUGUCUCAAAAAAAAAAAAAAAGUUAGCUGGGCAUGGUGGCAAGUGCCUACAGCCCUAGCUACUCGGGAAGCUGAGGGGGCAGGAUCAUUUGAACCAGGGAAGUCAAGGCUGCAUUGAGCCAUGAUCAUGCCACUGCACACCAGCCUGGGCAACAGAGUGAGACUCUGUCUCUAUAAAAAAUAAAAAGCUGGCCGGGCGCGGUGGCUCGCGCCUAUAAUCCCAGCACUUUGGGAGGCCGAAGCAGCCAGAUCACCUGAGGUCAGGAGUUCGAGACCAGCCUGACCAACAUGGAGAAACCCGUCUCUAUCAAAAAUACAAAAAAAAAAAAAAAAAAAAAAAAAAUUAGCCAGGCGUGGUUGCGCAUGCCUGUGAUCCCAGCUACUCCGGAGGCUGAGGCAGGAGAAUUGCUUGAGCCCAGGAAGCGGAGGUUGCAGUGAGUAGAGAUCAUGCCAUUGCACUCCAGCCUGGGCAACAAAAGCGAAACUCCAUCUCAAAAAAGAAAAUAAUAAAUAAAUAAAUAAAUAAAUAAAUAAAUAAAUAAAUAAAAGCUUUAGCCCCAGGAAAUGGUAACAACUUUUCUCAGGCUACUGUCCAGCUGUGGAUUCAAGCAAUUUCCUAGCUCAAUUCCAUGCUCCAAAUGGAACACUUUAUGGCUCUGUUAUCCCAAAUUUCUGCUUCCAGACUCAGAGACCAGCAGGCCUGCAGCUUCAGCCUGGCUUUCUUCCUUGUGUUCUUGUCUAUUUCUCAUCCACAGGGAUAUUUAUCAUGUUGAGUGUGGUGGGGGGUAGAAAAGUGGAGGCGUACAUGAAUAUAUUUUUAGAAUUUUAUCUUUUUAUGUAUUACUGCUAUGUGUUUAGAGUAUAAAUUUACAGUGCCAUCCUGACUGGAUGAAUUGGAUUUAACUAUUCAUACCAGGAAACUGGGCAUCCCUGCCAAUACUAAUCUCUUGGGAACAGGUAUCAAACCAUCUCUAACAAGAUUCAUAGAACUCUAGCCAACACAAUGAGGGCAGGAGACUGAGAUACCCUGGGGUCAACUGAAGAAAGGCCCAAUUGAAACUGCUCUCCCAUUCCCACUGCCACCUUCAUUCCAGUCCACAGAGGGAUAGGGCAGGGCGUGCAGACAUGCAAACGGGAUCUUUCAGAUGUGGCCUGGGCAGGCCUUCACUGACCCAGGUAACACGGGCCUUCAGUCUCUUCCACACCAUUUGCCCAUUUCAGUCUUUCACCUGACUAGUGAAAACUGCACACUGGCCAUACAAACACCCCUGAUGGAAGGCCCAUCUGACUCUCUUCAAGUCCCCAGUCUGCCAGCACAGGCCCAGCCUGAAGUUCCACUGAAAAUCGGAACAAUUGAUUCAGGAGCCAAAUUCUAGUCUAGACUGUUACCAAGCAGCCAAGCAGGUUACUUUUCAUUUCCAGGCCAAGAUUCUGUUUGUUUAUUUUUGAGAUAGAGUCUCACUCUGUCAUCCAGGCUGUAGUGCGGUAGUGUGAUCUCAGCUCACUGCAACCUCCGCCUCCUGGGUUCAAGUGAUACUCCUGACUCAGCCUCCCAAGUAGCUGGGACUACAGGCGCCUGCCACCACGCCCAGAUAAUUUUUCUAUUAUUAUUUAUUUAUUUAUUUAUUUAUUAUUUAUUUAUUUUUUUGAGACGGAGUCUCACUCUGUCACCCAGGCUGGAGUGCAGUGGCACGAUCUCGGCUCACUGCAAGCUCCACCUCCCGGGUUCAUGCCAUUCUCCUGCGUCAGCCUCCCGAGUAUCUGGGACUACAGGCGUCCGCCACCAAACCUGGCUAACUUUUUGUAUUUUUUAGUAGAGACGGGGUUUCACCGUGUUAGCCAGGAUGGUCUCGAUCUCCUUACCUCGUGAUCCACCUGCCUCGGCCUCCCAAAGUGCUGGGAUUACAGGCAUGAGCCAUCACGCCCAGCCAAUUUUUCUAUUAUUAGCAGAGAUGGGCUUUCGCCAUGUUGGUCAGGCUGGUCUCAAACUCCUGACUGUUAGGGAUGAGCUGCCCCAGGACCACCCCCCCGCCACAAUGCAGCUGACCCUUACCGUGAAUACUCUGCAGCUGCAUUCCUGAACCCUUAUCUAGGCACCACAGCAAGUCAUCAAACUUACUAGAUUACAGCCCUCCGGGCGGCACGGGGAAGGUCACAAGAAACGGAUAAACCUAAGAGGGAUACACCCUCUUGUAAAUUCCUAUUUUCACAAGAUAAUAUAUUGCAAGCCAGUCAGGAGAAGAUAUUCGUAAAGUUAACGGACAAACAACCCCAGGGUGUUUCUCUCUCUCUCCAUCUCCCGGGUUCAAGCGAUUCUCCUGCCUCAGCCUCCUGAGUAGCUGGGACUACCGGAGUGUGCCACCACACCUGGCUAACUUUUCUAUUUUUAGUAGAGAUGGGGUUUCACCAUGUUGGCUAGGCUGGUCUCAAAUUCCUGACUUCAAGUGAUCUACCCACCUCGGCCUCCCAAAGUGCUAGGAUUACAGGCGUUGAUCCACCGUGCCCAGCUUCCAAGAUUCUUUUUUUUUUUUUUUUUUUUCUUUUCUGAAACAGAGUCUCAGUCACCCAGCCUGGAGUGCAGUGGCACAAUCUUGGGAUCUUGGCUCACCGCAACCUCCGCCUCCCGGGUUCAAGCGAUUCUCCUGCCUCAGCCUCCUGAGUAGCUGGGACUACAGGCACGCGCCACCACGCCCAGCUAAUUUUUGUAUUUUUAGUAGAGAUGGGGUUUCACCAUGUUGCCUAGGCUGGUCUUCAAUUCCUGACUUCAAGUGAUCCACCCACCUCGGCCUCCCAAAGUGCUGUGAUUACAGGAGUGAGCCACCGAGCCCAGCUUCCAAGAUUCUUUAACAAUCAAAAGGAAGCAAUCCUACCUCCACUCUCUUCCUCCCGGAUGAUCGCAGUGUUGGUUACUGCUGACCACCACUGUGAUUUCCAGUUUUACCUAUUUCUUUCAGCUGCUAAUGUAUUUCAAAAGCAUGAGAUGGGGUGCCCUUAUUCAUGCAGCGAGGUCAAGAUCUUAACAUAAAUAGCAUUCAGAGAUGCCCAAACCAGGCCUCCCCAGCCUCAUCUCUUAUCAGACCCUAUUCUCUAAGGUUUACAAACUAAUUUGGAUCCCAAGCCAGAACUGGCCCACAUUUAUUAAGAUUCUACACUGAAACUAAAAAGACAUGUAUGUGUCUCUCACUUAAAAGAACCCUAAGAACUCUCAGGGUACAGAGACAAUGCUAUUUAAUUCCUCAUCUCUGUACCACUGUAGCGCCUAGCACUGUCCUGCAUAUAGGAGGCAUCAAUAAAUGUUUGCCCAACUGAGUAUCAUCUCUCUACAUAAGCCCAGGGCUAUAAAAAUCAAAAGAAAUGAUGGUUAUAAAAAAUGCUUUGAAACCAUUAUUAUGAAUUAUAUAAGUAUGCAUAUGAAAGUGAUAAUUAUAUUCUGCCCCCACUUUUCCAUCUCUGACAUUCUAGAAGUGAGAGCUUUCUCUAACUUCUCUUGGACCACCCAGAAACAUGAGACCUCAGGUACAAACCAAAUUGAGCAAAUCUGAGCCUGUGGGAAAGGGGUGUGCGUGUAAAGCUGAAGCAGGUGCCUGGACGACGGCAGGGACAGUGGGAGUGUGCUACUCUUAAGGGCCCAGCAACAAACACCUGGCACGGCUGCUGACCUGGAACUCCUGCAGCUCACUCCCCUAAGCACCGCAAGCUGCAGUCCUCCCAGCUGGGGCUUUCCAGAUCACUCACCCGUUCACCUCGGCUCAAAGCAUCUCCAGAUGAACAAAGUGCGUAGAAAAACUUGGAUUCACAUUGUGGGUUUGCCACUUGUCAGCUAUUGACCAUGUAACUUCUCUCAUGGUCCUGAUCUGUGCAAUGGGAAUAGCACCCAUCUCGAAGGGGUUCCAUGAGGAUUAUAUAAAGGCACACAUAAAGCUCUACCUCCAUGGCUAUGGUCAUGGGUUGGGCAGAUUGAGGGUCACAGCUCUGCAGGAGCCCCAUGGCAUCACAAGGAAGGCACAAACCCCUCCCACACAGCACUGACUCUGGCUCCACAGCGCCCCAGCCCCACCCCACCUUCCCAGCCCCCACUUCCCACAGGAACUCUCCUCCCUGGGGCCCCACUCCCAGCAGGCACCGGCCUCCAGGAAGGUUGCGGUUUCAGGGCCAGCCCUACCUUGGUUGAUCCUUGCCCCUAGACCCAGCAGAGGACGGUGCGCGUCCAUCCUAUGGGACACGGCCGUAACCCCUUCCCCAGCCCCCACUUUAGCACACCCUGCAGAGCAGAGGCCUGACCUGAGCUGGCUCUAAACAGCUCCCUGAGGCUGGAGGCCAGACAGCCACAAGCCAGGAGCAAGAUUCUAGAAUACAAAGCUAUUAUAAUAAGGAGUUUCUCUGCAAGGCCAAAAGCCUCAGACAUUAAUAGAGGCAGAAGAUGAGUUGCAGACCCUGAAGCCCCAGUCAUGGACCUCGCCUCCUCCACCGGGCUGGUAUGACCUCUGCCUGUAAUCUUUCAGUCCUCCUGCCCAGCCAAGCUACCAAGGUGGGGUGUCCGCCAGAACCACUGGGGCCAGGCAAUAUGAUGACAGCAACAGUCCAGGCUGCAGUAAUGUCUUUUGGAAAGGUCAGCCUGUGGCAGCUAUGCUCAUGGAAACUCAAGGAAGGUGUUUGCAUCCAUGCUUCUACCAGAAGACUAAAAGGAAGCCAUGUCCUCCCACCCAGCCCUCCAGAGUGAAGGUAUAGAAAUGCAGAGUAAAAGAUGGAGGGAACCAGAGGUGGGCCCCUUGCUCAGCUGCUGUGUCCUCUGGACACUUCCUUUCCAACAGGGACCCUGGAAGUUCCAGCUAGGAAGAGAGGUCAUUGUGAGCCCACGGCCAGCCUGGUGCCAUCUGGUAACUUCCAGCACCAACCCUGCAGGUGGCUUUGGGAAGCAUCGCUGUCCUGCACCCUGCUUUUCCCUGUCACUAAGGUUCAGCCCUGGGAGGUGGGCUGGGGAGGACAGUGCCUGAGAGCCCAGCACACACCUGCCUUCAUGGUCCCGAGCUCCAGCUGAGCAGUCUUCCUCUUUCCUGAGGAGCCGAUGACAUGCUGUGACCUACUCAGGCAGGGCCCCUGGUUGCUAGGGAAUCAGUUCACCACCUCUGGAAAGUGGCAAUAUCGCUGCUGUGAGUAGGCCCAAAGUGGGCCUUUCCCUGGCACCGCCUCUGAGCCUUAUCCCCGGGGUGAGAAAAACGAAGGUUGGGGGACGCCAAGGGCCCUCCUCGGUCCCUGCUGCCCAUCCUCAAGGACUGACCUGCCCUCCUGGAUCUGGCCUAAGCUGAGUUAUAAGCUCCCUGCCAAGACAACAUCCAUCGUGCCAUGUACUACUGUUGUCAACUUUAGGGGGAUGUGGAAAGGAAGGACGCACAGACCUUGGUCCAUUACAGUGGACCCCAGGGAGCUGUCUUUGUUGUCCAGCUUUAUGAUACAGCUUGGGGUUACACAGGCAUCGCCCACAUGAUGGUGCUAUCAGGGACUGGGGAUGUGAGGAGGUGGGGCCCAGGGCCCGCUUUCAAGCCCCACCCCUCCUUGAGACAAGGUCUUACUCCAGCCCAGGCUGGAGUGCAGUGCUAGGAUCAUGGCUCACUGCAGUCUUGGCCUCCUGCCUCAGCCUCAGCAUCCUGAGCAGCUGGGACCACAGGUACACACAACACCGCACCUGACUUCGCUUUCAGAGUCCAAAGCCCUCAUAGGGCCAUUGUGAGGCUAGGGCAUCCCCACCCCAUAUGUGGUUAACUCAUGCCUAUGAAUUACCAUUUUGUUUGUUGUUAUUGUUUGUUUUUGUAAAGCUAGGAUCUUGCUAUGCUGCCCAGGCUGGUCUUGAACUCCUGACCCCAAUCCUCCCGUCUCAGCCCCCGAAAGUGCUGGAAUUACGGGCCUGAGCCACCAAGCCCAGCCUGCACUAACAUUUCACAGGGAAUGAUGGACCAAUGCUGGAGGACCUUGAUUCCAGGACUGGCUGUGCUCAAUAGCAGAGCAGCUGUGUGUCUUUGGGCAAAUCACACCUCUCUGGGCUGCAGGUCCUCCAUUUGUAAAAUGAGCACGAUAAUGCCUACCUACUGACCUCACGCACUCCCUGCAAAGAUUAAAUGAGCAAUGACUGUAGGCUGUGGAGUGCUGUAUCUCCAAGUAACAUUGACUUUCAGCCUCAUAGAGAGGAAGGAAACAGGGACGAGAGGUGACACUGCAGCUAAGCCAAAGGGAACAGGUGUGUGUGACAUGGGACUGGGGGACCAGUUAAAACCGGCCCCAGGCAUAAACAGACAGGGUGCUCUGGGCGCUGAGCAGGAGAAGCAGACAGGUCAGUCUGGGCUGGCAGACAGUUCGGGAGAGAAAUGGCUGUCAGCAAACAUCUGAAGGGCAAGAGGAAAGACACAGGAGUGAGAGGCUCAGAAUGCAAGAGGCAUCCAGUCCCAAACUUCACUCCCGAGAACUCAGGAGCUGGUGAGCAUUGCCCCAAAGCUCCCAGGCACACCAGCAUUUUGCUAAUACACACAUAACGCCACACCCUCAGAGUCCAAAGCCCUCAUAGGGGCAGCCUUGACCUCUGGCCCAGAGACCCCAGCAAAGUGACUCACCUGAGGUAAGAAGCCUGUGUAAGACUGAACUGAGGUCUCCUCUUAAGUCAGAGGCUCAAAGCCCAAAGCACGCUGCUAAGCUCUUACUACAACACUCCAUUCCUGGCUUUGCCAAGCUGAGUCAAAUACCUGUCCCCUCACAAACUGGAAGUGACAGAGAACUGAGUCCAAAAGAGCGCUAUUUUUGUUUUUCUGUACCUGAAACUGGCACCACUGUCCUGGGCAUUCUCUUCCAAAGGAGGAGACAGAGGGGGAGCACGACUCACCCCAAAUCCCUCAACAGAAUUGAGAAAACACAGCCACACCAGAGCCAUGUCCUCAUCCCAGUGCCAGCAAGAAACAGCACAGGAGGGUGGGCAUUCAGGAAGCUGACGUCACUGAAUGUCUCCAUCUCAGACCUUUCCUAACACCAGCUAUCACACAGAUCUCCCCCCGGGCCAUUAAGAGGAAGGGACCAUUUGCCAUAAAAAUCAACACUUUAGGCUGGGCGCGGUGGCUCACGCCUGUAAUCCCAGCACUUUGGGAGGCUGCGUCCGGAAGAUCACCUGAGGUCAGGAGUUUGAAUCCAGCCUG